UGAGGACAAGGACUUCACAUUCCAAAUGCUUCUUUGGAGAAGAGCUCGCCCAGGUCCUCGGCCUUCCUGCCACCUCUCGUGGCAACGUUCCAUUGCUCACGGAAGAGCAUCUGAACUGAGGACACCUCUUCUCCUCCACACAGCAGGAGGCAGCUUCUCGCAGGUAACACUCACUCCUUGUCCAAGGUCACGCAGAUGGAUGUCUUUACCUUAGCUUUGAAGAUCUACAACAGCCCUGCAGCUGGGAAGAGAGUGUAUCAUUUGGCUUUUUGCCCAGAAAAUAAGAUGCUUCAUAAAGUUCA